rnacentral:rRNA from 1 species
GUCCACGCCGUAAACGUUGGGCACUAGGUGUGGGGCUCUAUCGACGGGCUCCGUGCCGUAGCUAACGCAUUAAGUGCCCCGCCUGGGGGAGUACGGCCGCAAGGCUAAAACUCAAAGGAAUUGACGGGGGCCCGCACAAGCGGCGGAGCAUGUGGCUCAAUUCGAUGCAACGCGAAGAACCUUACCUGGGCUGAACUACGCGGGAAAAAGCCGUAGAAAUACGGUGUCCUUCGGGGUCCGCGAUAGGUGGUGCAUGGCUGUCGU